CAUGUAUUUGACACACACACAUAUACUCUUUGUUUAUUGUCAAACUUUUGUUAUUGCUUAAAGUCUGCCGUGCGAUUCUGUAAGCGUUGUUUAACAAACUCGCACGUGAAUUUGGUGUGAGUUUUCAAAUUGGCAUUCUGUACAAUACGACCGACGUAACUUGGCGAGCCCGAACUUCGCGCAGAAGGCUGCGCACAAACGUUUUUAGGAACCAAAUGGUGGUAUGAGCAACGUGCGCGGGGCGGAGGUCUAGGCUAGGGAUUGACUCUAUGUAAACACAAUCGUCCCUUUAUUCAAUCAAAUAUCACAAUCGAUUUUUAUCGGUUUGGAAUUUAUUGAUUUUUGUUUAUAUGAGAUAAUGAAUGAAAUAGAUUUACAAACAUAUUGAAUGUUGUCGUUAGUAAACGAGACUUCAUCUUUAAUAAAAAAAAAAACUAAUAACACUUUAUUUUCUUGGUUGAAAGACACGAUUUAGUUGAAUAUCAGUUAUUUAUCAACAACUACUACAAUAGGGACUGUUCGUGAAUAUUUUAAACCUCCUAUAAAAUGGAAUAUAAAUAUAUAUUUUUAUAUAAAUUUUAAUCAAUUUGAAAAAAAAUCGAUUAAACAACAUCCUCAAACACGCAUAUUGGACAUCCCUUUUCUUGACAUCGUAUAAAUUCGGUAAUUCUCGGUAUGCGGUAAUGUGUCUCACUCACACGCUAGCAUUAGUGUCGUGUUCGUGUCGCUAUCUCUGUCUUGAGUACGGGCGGCUACAAAAGUUUUCAUUGAUUUGUUAUUAUUAUACUGUUUUUGUUUAGUGCUCAGUGUUUUGUUUAGUUUUAAGAUUGUUUGUGUUUAAAUUUGUUUUAGUAUUGAGUGUCCCUUGGCAUUUAUACUAUUCGUUAACAAAGAUGCCACCAAAGCAUAAUAGUGUUUUAAAUCGACGGCCGACAAACAUAAUUUUUGUUUUUUUUUUAAAAAGAAAAAGAAGAAGGCGUAAAAGAUGUUGACAGUUUUAUUUAGAGUUGCUAACGAUCUGGUGUAUCGCAACGCACAGUACAGCGGAUCGCAACUGAAGGCAGUGUUCGGGCUUACUUUCGAAUUAAUUUAAUUACGUUAUUUUUACCGCUUUCUGUCUUAAUUUAUUAUUUUUUUAUUACCUCUCUUUAAUUUAUUACGUUAUUUUUAUAGCUUUCUCUCUCAUAGUGUUUUGAUAUUCAUUUUAUUUGUACUUGGUCCCUGUAUAUGGAAAUUUUAAUUCGUAUUUUGAUUUAAAAAAAUGAAUGCUAAUAACACUUUUUUUUACAAGUGUACAUGCGCGAAAGUGGACCUGCGGCUAUAUUCAGACUCGCCAAGUUACGUCGGUCGUACUGUAAAUUUCAUUGCAGUGCCGAAUCUACACUAGCGCCCCUCGCGGGUGAAUUGAACUAGCAAACGUGAGUUUUUUUUACUAAAAUGUAUGAGUUGACGUUUGAAACGGCAUUCUGUAGUGUAAAUCACGUCGAAUUUCGGCAAGAACUUCGCAUCGCAAAAUCAUUUUAUUUGUCAAAUCAAAAGUUAGUGUUUUAAGUGUUUGUUGUGAGUGAGAAUAUACGAAAACGUUAUAAACCGCUGUUAAUUAUUAAAAAAAUACUAUUAAUUAACAAAAUUGCACUUUAAAAUAACUUUAUUCUUCAUCGAUAUUUUUUGGAGCGUAUGUUUUUAUUGAAAACAUUGUUGAAAAGGCUGACGCUACGGAUCAGCGUGAAAUGUGUCGACAAGCCUACGAAAUUCACAAUUUAUCACUUUUAACUUGAGAUGACGACUAUGUAAAAGUAUAAAGAAAGUGUAUAGAUUGUCGAAGGAUCAUAUGAACCAGUUAGGGUGUGAAUUACACCCUUUGACGAAGACCACUAAAAGCCAUUGAAAAGGACUUUCAACUCUUCUAAAGUUUCAGUUACUGUGCACCUUGUUUAUUUGGGCAAAUGAAGUUACCAAAAAAAUCAUAAAAGAAAAUAUAAGAACAUAUUUGUCCCAGAUAUCCCAGUGUAUAUCUGAGGUUGUGGAGGCUCUGAACAACCCAGCAACUAUAUAUAAAUAUUUAAGAUUCCCGCAGAAUGCUCAAGAAUGGCAAAAGUUGAAGGAAAACUGAAGAAAAAAGAAGAAGGUGGUUUAAACUAAAUAAAUAUUUUUUUUCUUCAUAAAAAAGUACCAAUCUAAUGCAAAAUAUUGCAGUUUUUGUAAAAAAAUUAAAAUCACUUUGGUUGUUGGGUGUAUUGAUGGGACGUUGGUGGCCUUAAAAAGACCUGCUACCAAUAAAAAAUGGUUUUACUGUCACAAAGGCUAUCAUGCCAGAAAAUGUACAAUUUGUAAAGCCAUUAAUAUUUUUCGAAAUUCUGAUGACAUGUAAUCCAUAAACGAAAUGUGUAUUAUGAACUAUGUAUUCAGAUUGUAUUCAUUUCAGUUAAAUUGAAUUGUGUAUAUUGCUUUAAGUAAAGUUAUUGUGAAAUUUAGUAUUUAUAAUAUUAAAUAAACUUUAUUCAGUUACAAAAUAAAAUCUACUAAAGAUUAGUCAAUGACAGCAAGUAAUGACCAUUAUAAUUAUUUAACAUCUUUUCGGUCUUUCUGUAUAUGCUCAACGUUCCAACCUUAUGACACCUUUUGCUAAUUUUUUUUUCAUUUCACCAUCUAAAUGGUUAGACGAGCUCACAGCCCACCUGGUGUUAAGUGGUUACUGGAGCCCGUAGACAUCUACAACGUAAAUGCGCCACCAACGUUGAGAUAUAAAUUCGAAGGUCUCAGUAUAGUUACAACGGCUGCGCCACCCUUCAAACCGAAACGCAUUACUGCUUCAGAAAUAGGCGAUAAUGCUAUGCUAGCUAAUACCUGCUAAUAAUGGCUAGCUAAUGCUAAUACGGAGAGAGAUACUCCUGAAGCUUUGUAGCACCACCUUCAUUCCACUGCCUGUAACUCAGUGAAAAGAACAAUAGUUCUGUUAAAGAGUAGAUUCAGGUGUUUGCUGAUCCAUAGGGUGCCAAUUUAUCACCCUGAUAAGGUAGCAAAAAUAGCUGUUGCGUGUUGUGUUUUGCACAUUUGCAAUUGUGCAGAGCUGCCAGUUCCCAUAAUCUCAGAUUAUGAGAUUACAUUUACAUUAUGGUGGUCAUGUUGAAUUACUUUGUUAAAUUCUACUAAUUAGCUUACUUAUAGUGUGAAGCAACUUCAAAUAUAAAUUAAUGAUUUAUAAAAA